rnacentral:rRNA from 1 species
UACGGAGGGUGCAAGUGUUAUCCGGAAUCACUGGGCGUAAAGCGUCUGUAGGUGGUCAAAUAAGUCAACUGUUAAAUCUUGAGGCUCAACCUCAAAACCGCAGUCGAAACUAUUAGACUAGAGUAUAGUAGGGGUAAAGGGAAUUUCCAGUGGAGCGGUGAAAUGCGUAGAGAUUGGAAAGAACACCGAUGGCGAAGGCACUUUACUGGGCUAUUACUAACACUCAGAGACGAAAGCUAGGGUAGCAAAUGGG